AUAAGAAAAGAUACAUGAGCUUUUCAGCUUCGACAUGUAAAGCUUGGAAGCUGUCUCUUCUACCGUCACAACAAGAAAAAACUGAACAAACUGAAAAAUCAAUGGCUUUUUUAGAUCCUUUGGAGAAUUGGGGUCACCGGACUAACCACCACCUCAAAAACAGGAGAGAUAAAUGAAUGCAGAGAAUAUAGAUCAACCUACCUGCAGCAAAAGCAUGAUGGGAACCCUUAAAUAAUAACUUUGAAAAUAGAAGCAUAUCAUUCUGUGAGGCCAUCAUUACCCUAAUACCAAAACCAGACAAACAUUACAAGACCAAUAUCUCAUGAACCAAAGAUAUAGUCAUACCUUGGAGAUAUUGCAGAUUCAGUUCCAGACCACUGCUAAUAAAGAAAAGAUCUCAAUAAAGUUACAGGAUAUCAGAGGGGUAGUGUGAUGCAACCCAAUGAGGAAUGGACAUCUCCAGUGACUGAGGUGGUGUGGAACUCUAUGUCCUCUGGGGAGA